AAUGAACGCUGGCGGCGUGGAUUAGGCAUGCAAGUCCAGGGGGAAAAUUCCCUUCGGGGGAUGAGUACACCGGCGAACUGGUUAGUAACAGGUGGGGAACGUGCCCCGAGGCCGGGGAUAACCGUCUGGAAACAGCGGCUAAGACCCGAUUCGGCCCGGCAGUCUUCGGAUAGCCGGCGCCAAAAGGCGCUCCUUCGGGAGUGCCGCCGCGGGAUCGCCCCGCCCCCGAUUAGCUAGAUGGCGAGGUAACGGCUCACCAUGGCUGCGAUCGGUAGCUGGUCUGAGAGGAUGGUCAGCAACACUGGGACUGAGAUACGGCCCAGACUCCUACGGGAGGCAGCAGUCUAGAAGCUUCCGCAAUGGGCGAAAGCCUGACGGAGCGACGCCGCGUGCGCGAAGAAGGCCUCGGUU
rnacentral:rRNA from 1 species